rnacentral:lncRNA from 13 species
CACUGCUGGAUGCAUGGCUGGUUGAAAACUCUAGGAACCAGCAAUCUCAAUGACUGAAGAAAGAUGAGUUGGAUAAGAAAAAGUGAAAGAAGGUUCUUGACGGAUGGGUUUCCAGUCCUUGGGAAGAAAAAUGAGGGAGAGGAAGAAAUAAAGGAAGAGUAUAUGAGGCAGCAGGAAGAAGAGGAACUGGGG